GUAGGUGAACCUGCCGUUGGAUCAGUUCUAGUUUAAUAACUAACACCAACUUCUUUUAAUUAAAUUUUUAAAACCACAUACAACAAACAAAAAAUAAUCAAAAAAGUUAGGACUCUAAUCAACGGAUGUCUUGGCUCCUUACACGAUGAAGAACGUUGCAUAAUGUGAUAAGUAACUGGAGUUGCGAACAUUGUGACAAGUUAAUCUUUGAAUGCAAAUUGCGCGUACCGUUGCUUUCGGGCAUCGGUUGCAUGUAUGCCACAGUACUGCAUAAAAUAAUAUAUAUUCUUCUUUCACGCAAAGAAGCAAAUAUUAUUUAAGCAAAAAUGUACGUAGUCUGCGACAUACAGGAAGACCCGCUGAACUGAAGCAGCGGGGUACGCGCAAUUUGCAUUC
rnacentral:misc_RNA from 1 species